AUUGAACGCUGGCGGCAUGCUUUACACAUGCAAGUCGAACGGUAACAGGUUAAGCUGACGAGUGGCGAACGGGUGAGUAAUGCAUCGGAACGUGCCCGAUCGUGGGGGAUAACGCAGCGAAAGCUGCGCUAAUACCGCAUAAGCUCUGAGGAUGAAAGCGGGGGACCGUAAGGCCUCGCGCGAUCGGAGCGGCCGAUGUCAGAUUAGGUAGUUGGUGGGGUAAAGGACCAACAAGCCGACGAUCUGUAGCUGGUCUGAGAGGACGACCAGCCACACUGGAACGGAGACACGGUCCAGACUCCUACGGGAGGCAGCAGUGGGGAAUUUUGGACAAUGGGCGAAAGCCUGAUCCAGCCAUUCCGCGUGCAGGAUGAAGGCCCUCGGGUUGUAAACUGCUUUUGUACAGAACGAAAAGGUUUCUACUAAUACUAGGAGCUCAUGACGGUACUGUAAGAAUAAGCACCGGCUAACUACGUGCCAGCCGCCGCCGUAA
rnacentral:rRNA from 1 species